GAUGAAGAACGCAGCGAAAUGCGAUAAGUAAUGUGAAUUGCAGAAUUCAGUGAAUCAUCGAAUCUUUGAACGCACAUUGCGCCCGCCAGUAUUCUGGCGGGCAUGCCUGUCUGAGCGUCAUUUCAACCCUCAUGCCCCUAGGGCGUGGUGUUGGGGAUCGGCCAAAGCCCGCGAGGGACGGCCGGCCCCUAAAUCUAGUGGCGGACCAGUCGUGGCCUCCUCUGCGAAGUAGUGAUAUUCCGCAUCGGAGAGCGAUGAGCCCCUGCCGUUAAACCCCCAACUUUCCAAGGUUGACCUCAGAUCAGGUAGGAAUACCCGCUGAACUUAAGCAUAUCAAUAAGCGGAGGA
rnacentral:misc_RNA from 1 species